GCGGGCGUGGUGAAAUUGGUAGACACGCUAGACUUAGGAUCUAGUGCCGCAAGGUGUGAAGGUUCGAGUCCUUUCGCCCGCAC
rnacentral:tRNA from 1 species